rnacentral:rRNA from 1 species
CAACAGGGAUUGCCCCAGUAACGGCGAGUGAAGCGGCAACAGCUCAAAUUUGAAAUCUGGCCCCCAGGGCCCGAGUUGUAAUUUGCAGAGGAUGCUUUUGGCGCGGCGCCUUCCGAGUUCCCUGGAACGGGACGCCAUAGAGGGUGAGAGCCCCGUCUGGUCGGACGCCAAGCCAGUGUAAAGCUCCUUCGACGAGUCGAGUAGUUUGGGAAUGCUGCUCUAAAUGGGAGGUAUAUGUCUUCUAAAGCUAAAUAUAGGCCAGAGACCGAUAGCGCACAAGUAGAGUGAUCGAAAGAUGAAAAGCACUUUGAAAAGAGGGUUAAACAGUACGUGAAAUUGUUGAAAGGGAAGCACUUGUGACCAGACUUGGGCCCGGUGAAUCAUCCAGCGUUCUCGCUGGUACAAUUCGCCGGGCCCAGGCCAGCAUCAGUUCGCCGCGGGGGAUAAAAGCUUCGGGAACGUAGCUCCCUCGGGAGUGUUAUAGCCCGUUGCAUAAUACCCUGCGGUGGACUGAGGUUCGCGUCCGCAAGGAUGC